CAACAGAACACAUCUUCAUCACAGAGACAGAAAGCCGAUAUCGAAAGUGUCAAGAAUCUCUAUCAUCCGAUCUCGCUUCAUAUCCAACAUCAGCUUUCACACAUCUACGGCAAUUGCAAACCAGUGUGUAGAUCCUUAUACAGGUAGCUCCACAAUGCACGCUCUCACAGCAUCCCAUCUCUUAAUCCAUUUGAGCAUGGUAGAUGUUAUCGCCACUCUCCAACUGGAAUACGAAGCACCAAAACUAACUCUGCCGAACUGAUGAGUUUGUUAGAGAUGAUCAGUAGUCAGUUAACAGCCAAGCAGGCAACCCAGUCAUUGUAUAGCCUGACUGACCGAGCAAACGGAGAUAGUUGUGCAGUGCCCAACAAAGUAGAACUUGUGAUUUGUUGAUUUGUUCUAUAGAUUCGCUCAAGAAUGAUGAGAAUAGUGCGUGCAUAGAUGUGGAGGGUUUGGAAAUAGUGCUGUGGAAAUAAUGAUGGAGUAGAUGCAUUGCAAUGAGAUCGGCCUUUCGUUCCUACCACAAUUGCUGUUGGGUCCAUAAGGACCCCGCGGCGCGAGGAUCAUGCGGCCAGCGAUGGGAGGGCCGACAUGUCGUCGGUGGAUAAUUCUGCGUCUGUCCAAGCGGGCCCGCUAAAACCAACCGCCGUGGGAUACACCUAUAAACUUACGCUCACACAACACUAGGAAUAAGUAUCUAACCAGUAACGUAAGUAAUAAA